CCUACUUCUUUUUCCUUGUGUAUGGGAAAUCUUUCUUGAGAUGCUCCUCACUCCCACACACAAAGCACCUUCUUUUUCUUUCAUCAUGAGACUUCGAUCUUGAUCCCUUCUUGUUCUUGGGAUCCUUCUUCUCCGUUCUGCCCCUCGUGUACAAUCCUUCAGUGUCCUGAUAGCCACCUCCCUCUGAUUUCUUCUUCAACUCCUU
rnacentral:lncRNA from 1 species